UGGGGAAUUUUGGACAAUGGGAAACCCUGAUCCAGCCAUCCCGCGUGUGCGAUGAAGGCCUUCGGGUUGUAAAGCACUUUUGGCAGGAAAGAAACGUCAUGGGUUAAUACCCCGUGAAACUGACGGUACCUGCAGAAUAAGCACCGGCUAACUACGUGCCAGCAGCCGCGGUAAUACGUAGGGUGCAAGCGUUAAUCGGAAUUACUGGGCGUAAAGCGUGCGCAGGCGGUUCGGAAAGAAAGAUGUGAAAUCCCAGAGCUCAACUUUGGAACUGCAUUUUUAACUACCGGGCUAGAGUGUGUCAGAGGGAGGUGGAAUUCCGCGUGUAGCAGUGAAAUGCGUAGAUAUGCGGAGGAACACCGAUGGCGAAGGCAGCCUCCUGGGAUAACACUGACGCUCAUGCACGAAAGCGUGGGGAGCAAACAGG
rnacentral:rRNA from 1 species